rnacentral:lncRNA from 1 species
AAACUUUAUUUCAUAGUUUUACAAUAACUAAGGCCACAUCGUUAGUCACACAAUAAUGGUUCAUUUUGUUAACAUCAUAUCGAUUAUAAUACUUUAUUAUAAUAUAUUCCAAUAAAGUAUAUGUAAUAUAGUUUUUCGAUCAAAAUCUCAUCGCAUGAUUCACAUGUUUUCUUUUUCAUUACUCACCCUAUAGUAGUUCAUUUUGUUAUUAUUAUAUCGCUUUUAAUAAAGUAU